rnacentral:snRNA from 1 species
CUGCUUCAGUAAUAAAUAUACUAAAAUUGGAACGAUACAGCAAUUAGCAUGGCCCCUGUGCACAGCUGACAUGCAAAUUUAUGAAAUGUUCCAUACUUUC